CGGUGGAGUAUGUGGUUUAAUUCGAUGCAACGCGAAGAACCUUACCUGGCCUUGACAUCCCGGAGACCCUUAGGAAACUAGGGGGUGGCUUCCAUCUGGAAGAAUCUGGAGACAGGUGCUGCAUGGCUGUCGUCAGCUCGUGUCGUGAGAUGUUGGGUUAAGUCCCGCAACGAGCGCAACCCUUGCCUUUAGUUGCCAGCAGUUCGGCUGGGCACUCUAAAGGGACUGCCGGUGUUAAACCGGAGGAAGGUGGGGAUGACGUCAAGUCCUCAUGGCCUUUAUGACCAGGGCUACACACGUACUACAAUGGCCGAUACAAAGGGCAGCGACACUGCGAGGUGAAGCCAAUCCCGUAAAAUCGGUCUCAGUCCGGAUUGGAGUCUGCAACUCGACUCCAUGAAGUUGGAAUCGCUAGUAAUCGUGGAUCAGCAUGCCACGGUGAAUACGUUCCCGGGCCUU
rnacentral:rRNA from 1 species